UAUCAAUUUUCUAAGAGCAGACGGUGGAUGCCUUGGCAUCUGGAGCCGAAGAAGGACGUAUAAAUCUGCGAUAAGCCUCGGGGAGCUGAUAAUAGAGCUUUGAUCCGAGGAUUUCCGAAUGGGGAAACCCCGCCAGGCGUUGCAAGACGACCUGGUGACUCCCGCCUGAAUAUAUAGGGCGGGUAGAGGGAACGUGGGGAAGUGAAACAUCUCAGUACCCACAGGAAGAGAAAACAACCGUGAUUCCGUUAGUAGUGGCGAGCGAAACCGGAAGAGGCCAAACCGAUCAUGUGUGAUAGCCGGC
rnacentral:rRNA from 1 species